UUCGCAAUGCCCGAAAGGGUGACGAUGCGACGCCGCGUGAGCGAAGAAGGCCCUAGGGUUGUAAAGCUCUGUCGAGGGUUAUGAAAUAUAGAUGGGUUAAUACCCCAUUUAUUUGACAAAAGCCCAAAAGGAAGCCACGGCUAACUCUGUGCCAGCAGCCGCGGUAAUACAGAGGUGGCAAGCGUUGUUCGGUAUUAUUGGGCGUAAAGAGCACGUAGGUUGUUUUGUAAGUCAGGUGUGAAAGCCUUCUGUUCAAAGGAAGAACGGCAUCUGAAACUGCAGAUCUUGAGUGUAGGAGGGGAGAGUGGAACUUCUGGUGGAGCGGUGAAAUGCGUAGAUAUCAGAAGGAACGCCGGCGGCGAAAGCGAUUCUCUGGCCUAUUACUGACACUCAGUGUGCGAAAGCUAGGGGAGCAAACGGGAUUAGAUACCCCGGUAGUCCUAGCCGUAAACGAUGGGCACUAAGUAGAGGGGUUUU
rnacentral:rRNA from 1 species